CGGACGAACGCUGGCGGCAUGCUUUACACAUGCAAGUCGAACGGUAACGGGCCUUCGGGUGCCGACGAGUGGCGAACGGGUGAGUAAUGCAUCGGAACGUACCUUUCAGUGGGGGAUAACGUAGCGAAAGUUACGCUAAUACCGCAUAUUCUGUGAGCAGGAAAGCAGGGGAUCGCAAGACCUUGCGCUGAUUGAGCGGCCGAUGUCAGAUUAGCUAGUUGGUGAGGUAAAGGCUCACCAAGGCGACGAUCUGUAGCGGGGUCUGAGAGGAUGAUCCGCCACACUGGAACUGAGACACGGUCCAGACUCCUACGGGAGGCAGCAGUGGGGAAUUUUGGACAAUGGGGGCAACCCUGAUCCAGCCAUGCCGCGUGAGUGAAGAAGGCCUUCGGGUUGUAAAGCUCUUUCGGCCGGGAAGAAAUCGCAUGGGUUAAUACCCUGUGCGGAUGACGGUACCGGCAUAAGAAGCACCGGCUAACUACGUG
rnacentral:rRNA from 1 species